rnacentral:rRNA from 1 species
GUGGGGAAUUUUGGACAAUGGGGGCAACCCUGAUCCAGCAAUGUCGCGUGCAGGAAGAAGGCCUUCGGGUUGUAAACUGCUUUUGUACGGAACGAAAAGGCUCUGGUUAAUACCUGGGGCACAUGACGGUACCGUAAGAAUAAGCACCGGCUAACUACGUGCCAGCAGCCGCGGUAAUACGUAGGGUGCAAGCGUUAAUCGGAAUUACUGGGCGUAAAGCGUGCGCAGGCGGUGCUGUAAGACAGGCGUGAAAUCCCCGGGCUUAACCUGGGAAUGGCGCGUGUGACUGCAGUGCUGGAGUGUGGCAGAGGGGGAUGGAAUUCCGCGUGUAGCAGUGAAAUGCGUAGAUAUGCGGAGGAACACCGAUGGCGAAGGCAAUCCCCUGGGCCUGCACUGACGCUCAUGCACGAAAGCGUGGGGAGCAAACAGGAUUAGAAACCCGGGUAGUCC